GAAAGCACCAUCGUGAAAAUGCAAGCAGUUCUGUGAUCCCAGGUGCUCAAGAUGUACUGACAGAGGCGAGACCAAUCUCACAGGCAAAACCUGAUGGCGAGACAUGUUCGGCGAAAACUGAUGGCGAGACAUGUUUGAUCUCCACGUCUCCAUUGCCAGAACAGAGCCAUGGGGGAACAGAUAACAAUGUGAGCAAGCAGCAGAUACCAAAUGCUACAAUUUCCUUCACUCCCUUUUGGAAUGGAUCACAACCCACAUCCAUUCAGAGACCAUCUCCAGACAUUAAUUUGUCUGUCCCCAUUGAAGAGGAUUCACAAGGUAUGGUACUUUAGAAUCUUGGAGGCUGACAAAACAACCCAAAUGAAACUAAUUCUAUUUGCUUUGUUGUUGUAACCAUUAAAUUUAUUGACGACCAUUCUAAUUUUCUGCCUCAGCAUUUAGGUAUCAGUAGGACAUGUAGCACUUCUUAUUGGGCAAUGUUAUUGGAUUAUUUUUGUCCACUACACUGAUCACAGUGACUAUAAAUACGUAGCAGACAGUGAUUAUUCUUCUUUUUUACCUCAUUUGCAAAGUGAGCUUUCUUAAUGGCAGCGAGAGCCAUACAGUAUCCAUCAAAGAAAAAGAAUCAAAACCUCAAUUUAAAAAAUGGGGCUUUGGUAUACUUGGUGUUCUAUACUUCUAUCUUUAAUUUUAGGAGAUGAAUACUGAAAUUUACCCAACUCUUGGCUGGCCACUGAGGACGAAUGCAGUCAAUCAAGAGGUAUUUUAUCUUAUCAUACAAAGUCGUAUUUGUAUUUCAUCAAAUUUUAUUUUAGUUUCGCUGGUUACUCCAUCUUUAAGUGAUGCUAUGUUUUAAUAUAAUGCUUUCAAAUGUAGUACUAUAGGAACUUGGAGGCUAAGAAGGCAACCAAAAGAAACUAAUUAUAAGCAUUAAACUAAUUUAUUUCAUAUUAUAGGCAUAAGUUUAAUGGCAUACUGUAGUUCCAACUUCACAUUUCUGAUAACAGUAAAUGUGUAUUCAAGUUACAAAUUGCAUUAGAACAGCAGGUGCAAUAUCUGAACCCAAUCUGCGGCUCAUCCCCUGGUGUGAUGACUGAUAAUAA
rnacentral:misc_RNA from 1 species